CGGCCGAGCGCGGGCUCCCCGCACCGAGCGCGGCGGCGCUCCCGGCCGAGGGGCGGCGGGGGUUACCUGGCGGCACGGGGCCGAUCCGAUCGGCGCCGCCGCCGGCUCCCUCGCUCCCUGUCGCGCGGCCGCGCUCGCUGCCCCGCUCCUCGUCCUCACAGCGCUGCCAUUACCCAAGCCGCUCGCCCCUCGCGCCCCGCCCCUCUCCGGCGCCGCCACCGCGGGCGGGGGUGAGGCGAGGCGAGGCGAGCGGCGCCGCCCCCGCGCCCCUUCCUUACCGCGGCACCGCGAGCCGCCCGGCACUUCCACCCCGCGCCGUGCUCUCCCCGCCGAGCGCAGGCCGGUUGGGGGCGACGGCUCAAGCCGCGCCGUCGCUUUCCGACCGCGUCUCCCCGUCGGAGGAGACGGAUUUGGUUCAGAAGUCCAAAGUAAGCUCCCUGAAAAUCAUGUUGCAUGGAUACUAAGACCUCAGCACCAACAGUUUUCUCUGGAAGUUCUCCUCUUGUAUCACUUGGCCAUCCCGUUGCAUCCUGAGGAUAUUGGUUACUUCUGGCUUACAUGCUUGCAAAAUACGUUGUGAAAACAAUGGCUGUGUGAUGUGACCGCGCUUCCCUGUGACAAGAGUGGAGGUUCUGCACUUGCCCUUCUAUUUCUUCAGAGGCAAAGAGUACAGGUAGAGAUCUUCAAGCUUGAAUAGUCCAUUUAGAGAUCCAUGGUGCAAUUCAUUUUUGCAAUUCAUGGAACCAUAGAAUGGUUUGGGUUGGAAGAAACCUUAAAGAUCAUCUAGUUCAACCAUUUACCAUUUGCAGGGACACCGACAGCUAGAUCAGGCUGCCCAUCCAACCCGGCCUUAAACAUUUCCAGGGAUGGGACAUCCACAGCUUCUCUGGCUGCCUGUUCCAGGGCCUCAGCAGCCUCAUCAUGAAGCAUUUCUUUCUUAUACUUAGUCCCUGUCUCCCCUCUUUUAUUUCAAAGCCAAUUCUCCUUCUCCUGCCAUGGGACUCCAUGAUAACUCCCUGAUAAAAAGUCCCUCCCUAAUCUCUUCAAGGUUUAUGUAUUCACAAAGGAACUAAUUUGUUACCUAUGACAAUUAUUAUAAGCAUGCAAUCUUUAAGGAGACAAAGAUGUAGACAACAAGCAUCAGAUUGCACAAGCAUAGUUAGACAAUCCUAAUGGUGACCUUCAUUAAGUGUUAUAGGGAAAUAAAUUUGUUGAGAAUUAUUUCUGGUGUAAUAAA
rnacentral:lncRNA from 1 species